CCUGGUGACUAUAGCGCAGGGGCCACACCUCUUCCCAUUCCGAACAGAGAAGUUAAGCCCUGCAGCGCCGAUGGUACUAUCGCUUCGAUGGAAGAGUAGGUCGUUGCCAGGA
rnacentral:rRNA from 1 species